AGAGUUUGAUCCUGGCUCAGAACGAACGCUGGCGGCGUGCCUAACACAUGCAAGUCGAGCGAGAAAGUCCCCGCAAGGGGAUGAGUAAAGCGGCGAACGGGUGAGUAACACGUGGGCAACCUGCCCUUCAGUCGGGAAUAACCCAUCGAAAGGUGGGCUAAUACCGGAUAAUGUCCUUUGGGGGCAUCUUCGGAGGACCAAAGGGGGCGAGCGAAAGCGGCUCCCGCUGAGGGAUGGGCCUGCGGCUGAUUAGCUAGUUGGUGGGGUAGCGGCCUACCAAGGCAACGAUCAGUAGCCGACCUGAGAGGGUGACCGGCCACACUGGGACUGAGACACGGCCCAGACUCCUACGGGAGGCAGCAGUGGGGAAUAUUGCGCAAUGGGCGAAAGCCUGACGCAGCGACGUCGCGUGGGUGAUGAAGGCCUUCGGGUCGUAAAACCCUGUCGGGUGGAACGAAUCUCCUUUUCUCUAAUACAGGAGAGGAUUGACGGUACCACCGAAGGAAGCCCCGGCUAACUACGUGCCAGCAGCCGCGGUAAUACGUAGGGGGCGAGCGUUGUUCGGAUUUACUGGGCGUAAAGAGCGCGUAGGUGGUUCGAUGAGUCGGAUGUGAAAUCCCUCGGCUCAACCGAGGACCCGCGUCCGAUACUGUCGAACUUGAGUGCAGGAGAGGAGAGCGGAAUUCCCAGUGUAGCGGUGAAAUGCGUAGAUAUUGGGAGGAACACCGGUGGCGAAGGCGGCUCUCUGGACUGUCACUGACACUGAGGCGCGAAAGCUAGGGGAGCAAACGGGGAUUAGA
rnacentral:rRNA from 1 species